rnacentral:rRNA from 1 species
UACAGAGGGGGCAAGCGUUGUUCGGAAUUACUGGGCGUAAAGGGCGCGUAGGCGGCCUGCUAAGUCGAACGUGAAAUCCCCGGGCUCAACCCGGGAACUGCGUCCGAUACUGACAGGCUUGAAUCCGGGAGAGGGAUGUGGAAUUCCAGGUGUAGCGGUGAAAUGCGUAGAUAUCUGGAGGAACACCGGUGGCGAAGGCGGCAUCCUGGACCGGUAUUGACGCUGAUGCGCGAAAGCCAGGGGAGCAAACGGGG